rnacentral:rRNA from 1 species
UACGAAGGGUGCAAACGUUUGCUCGGGAAUUAUUGGGCGUAAAGCGCACGUAGGCGGCUUAGCAAGUCGGAAGUGAAAGCCCUCGGCUCAACCAAGGAAGUGCUUUCGAAACUGCUGAGCUUGAGUACUUAAGAGGAUCGCGGAAUUCCGGUGUAAAGGUGAAAUUCGUAGAUAUUGGGAAGAACACCGGUGGCGAAGGCGGCUCACUGGCUCAUUACUGACGCUCGAGGCGCGACAGACCGUGGGAUCAAACAGG